rnacentral:lncRNA from 1 species
CAUGUUGUAAUGGUGUCAGGAAGUCAGUUUGUUGGUUUCUAUUGAAGAAAGAGUGGAUGAUGAGUUUUUGUUUUUUUUUUGUUUUGAAAAUGAAAAUGAUGCAUAAAUGUUUUUUUUGUUUUAUUAAUGCAAAUAUCUUUAGUUAUUCGUGUUUUUUAUUGCAAGAAACACUUAACAUUUUAAACAUUGCAAUCAAGAAUAGAGGAAUACACGUAUAGUGAAAUCAAUGAAGCUUCAUUCAUC